CGGGCCGGCGCCGUGCUGCGUUCACAACACGCGCACAAAAACAACGGUUGACCAGCGGGGGAUGAGCGUGGUGGGAGGCGAUGCCAAGGAGCAUUACGGAAGGGGCUUUAGGUAGUUAUGAAUUACCGCCAGAAUGCUGGGGUGACGGUAGUUCAGAGUGAGAGGGUCUGGGGGAGACGUGGACAGCACUGACAGCACAGCCCCGGCCCUCAGGGGGAUCACCUCAGGUCAGGAAGAAAAUGGCAGCACCUCCUUCCUCACAGGGCUCAUGGCCCUCAUCCUAGCGUUCUGCUGGCCUUGCCAUACACUGCUGUUACGGAAGAGCUUUUGCAACUUGAAAAUAAGCUGUCAUAUGUAGAGGAAGUGACUCAGAAGACUCGGGGGCAAGCAGGAUCUUUCUGCUGAGCUCAUGCUGCAGCAAGCUCCGUGGGAGCAGCAGAGGCUCGAUUUCCUCAUGAUGUUUUCCAACACUUGGUCACGGUGAGCCUGGGCAGAGGCCAGCACAGUUCCACCAGGAAGGACCACCAAAGGAAGACAGCAACACAGAAGGUUCAACAGCUGUAGUCCCUUCAUCACUUGAGCCAUAAGUCACCAAGACCUGAAGACCAUGGAUGGAUUGCAUUCCUUUCGGAUCUCGUAAGUGUUUCCGGAGUUCCUAUUCAUUCUUCGUGCUAUUGCGACACUCACUGAGGCUUCAGACAGCAAGAGCAAUGGAUCAACAGCUGCUUUCCAGUUGCAAAGUCAACAACAGGAAAGAGAGGAGCCCCUUACAGAUCCUAGAGCCAGAAGAAUGCAGGUACAGAACAGCUAGUGUCUACCAUAUCAGUACUUCCCUGGUGAUCCUCAGCUUUUGCAGACUUCUUGUUUUAACUAAAAGGUUGAAAUUAUUUUUGGAGACAAAAAAAUGUAAUCUUUAUGUGUAUACUGACAGCACACCAUCCUGGACAACUCCAAGAAAAGCAUACUCUGUGUCUGAGAGGUAGCCUGUAUCAAUGAGGUCAUCUCUGAAACUUAAUUAUGACAAAAUACCUGCAACUUCUAAUAUCAGGCUUAAUCAGUUUUAUGACAUUCAACCUCCCCGAGCAGAGCUGGUGUGAACGCAAUAGGAAGACUUCAGCCACGUAAACAUCAUCAUUUCCUUGGCACCUGGCAGGCCCCACACAUGCUUGCACAGCAGUAGCACAGCCAUCCCAGGGAGCGUUCAGGCACUAACAGUCCUGAUGGGAAAGGGCCCCACCAGAUCACCUUGUGGCUCCUGGAGGGCAGGAGCCAGGGGCCUCCCAUGUGCUGCAUCAGCCAAGGUCUUAGUCGAGGUAAAAUCUUGUCUGAGGUCAGUAGGUUGGAGCGUUAACUUUUGUGAGUGAGGAGGACAAACUUCUGAGUUAACUGAAAUUAAGAAUUCAUCGCUUCUUCAUUUCACUUUUCACUAUAAAUGGUUUCUGUCUUUAUGUGGGAGUGUUGGGGCCCCUCUUAGCCUGAAUGAGCUGGUGUUGAACUGCAGAGCUACAGCUCUGCCAUGGCAGGGGCGCAUCGCAG